UCCAUUUCUUGUCAAGCUCGUCACUGGAUCUCUAGCAAUAUCGUCUUUGUGAUCACCUUCUGUGUCCUGUCUGCAGCAUUGCUCAGGAUUCUAUGGAGCAUUUACCAGAGAUGGGCAUUGUCUAAGAGAGCCGAGCAAAUAUAUGAGCAGGUAUGUGAGAUCCUUGAAGAUAAUUCCAUAAGUGCAAAGGUUGGCAACUCUGAAUGCGAGCCUUGGGUGGUCACCUCCUGGUUGCGUGAUCAUCUACUGUCUACCCGAGAGAGAUGGAACACUUUGUUG